UUGAACGCUGGCGGCAGGCCUAACCCAUGCAAGUCGCGCGGAUGAAGGGAGCUUGCUCCUGGAUUCAGCGGCGGACGGGUGAGUAAUGCCUAGGAAUCUGCCUGGUAGUGGGGGAUAACGUCCGGAAACGGGCGCUAAUACCGCAUACGUCCUGAGGGAGAAAGUGGGGGAUCUUCGGACCUCACGCUAUCAGAUGAGCCUAGGUCGGAUUAGCUAGUUGGUGGGGUAAAGGCCUACCAAGGCGACGAUCCGUAACUGGUCUGAGAGGAUGAUCAGUCACACUGGAACUGAGACACGGUCCAGACUCCUACGGGAGGCAGCAGUGGGGAAUAUUGGACAAUGGGCGAAAGCCUGAUCCAGCCAUGCCGCGUGUGCGAAGAAGGUCUUCGGAUUGUAAAGCACUUUAAGUUGGGAGGAAGGGCAGUAAGUUAAUACCUUGCUGUUUUGACGUUACCAACAGAAUAAGCACCGGCUAACUUCGUG
rnacentral:rRNA from 1 species